UACGGAGGGUCCGAGCGUUAUCCGGAAUCAUUGGGUUUAAAGGGUCCGUAGGUGGGCCAUUAAGUCAGGGGUGAAAGUCUGCGGCUCAACCGUAGAAUUGCCUUUGAUACUGGUGGUCUUGAGUCGUUGUGGAGUUGCCGGAACAUGUGGUGUAGCGGUGAAAUGCAUAGAUAUCACAUAGAACACCGAUCGCGAAGGCAGGUAACUAACAACGUACUGACACUGAUGGACGAAAGCGUGGGUAGCGAACGGG
rnacentral:rRNA from 1 species